GCCACUACCGAUCUCUGCCCUCUUGGUGGUAGUGGUCCCCCGGGCCCAGCUGUCUUUUCUUUUAUCUCUUUGUCUUGUGUCUUUAUUUCUACAAUCUCUCAUCUCCGCACACGGGGAGAAAAACCCACCCACCCUGUGGGGCUGGUCCCUACAAGUUGCUACAGCAGCAAAAUGGGGAUAAUAGCACCUACUUUACAAGGAAUGAAGGAAUGCAAACAAUGAGAACAGUGCUAGCAGAGAAGCACUACCUGUGAAUCUGCUAUUACUCAAAGAAGAACUAUUCAAACCAUUGCUAGCAUCAGAUAUUAGGAUUUUAAGUAAAUGUUCACUAAUUUGGUAGUGGAAAUGAUGUUCUAAUGUGGCUCUUUGAUUACCAACAAGGGUUAAACAUUUAAUUAUCAGUGGUUUUGUCUUCUAGGAAUUCUUUUACUCACAUGGUUCUUUGAGGGCCUUAAUGUGUUUCUUACUGAUCUGUAAAACUUAUUAGCAUAGUGACCCUUUAUGUAUGUUAUAUUUGUUGUCAAUAUUUUCCUCAGUUUGCCUUUUGACUUUUUAGAAUAUAGAGUAGCUAAGCAAUAACUGUUGCUUGAAUCAGUGUUGUCUUACUGAGCCAUCCACAUUCUCAUCCCUUCUCAACAGGAAUGACCCCAAGUUUAUCAGAAGGCUCCUGUGGCUCCAGGGUCAACUCUGGGCAUAUCUGACUACAUCACUCCACCCCUACCAUGGUCUCUCCUCUGUACCCCAGCGUUCCAGGGUACUGUCUUCUGAGAGCGCACUUGUCUGCCAACCCCAGUAGCCAGGACUCAGCAUACCUGGCAAACACCUUCAAAACUAGCAAAUCAUGCUGGCUAUCUGCCCCAGGACAUCAUCAAGAAAGUGAACAGACAACACACACACAGAAUGAGAGAAAAUAUUUGCAAAUCAUUGGUAAAGGACUGGAAUUGGUAUGUCAAAUAUGUGAACAAGUCUUACAACUCAAUAAUAGAAUGACAACCCAACUUUAAAAUGGGCAAAGGAUGUGAAUAGAUAUUUCUCCAAAGAAGAUAUACAAAUGAUCAAUAAACAUGGGAAAAGACAGCCAACAUCAUUCAUUGUUAGGAAAAUGAAAAUCAAAACCACAAUGAGAUACCACUUUGUACCCACUAAUAUGGCUAUAAUAAAAAGGACAGAUAAUAAGCGUUGCUGAGGAUGUGGAGAAAUUGGAAACCUCAUCCACUGCUUGGGGAAAUGGAAAAUGGUGCACCCACUUUGGAAAGCAGCUGGCUGUUCUUCAAAACAUUAAACUGAGUUACCAUCCAACCCAGCAAUUCCACUGCUAGUUAUCUACCUGAGAGAAAUGAAAACAUGUCCUCAUAACAACUUUCACAGGAAUGUUCAUAGUAGCAUUAUGCAUAAUAGCAAAGAAGUGGAAACAACUCAUAUGUCCAUAAACUGCUGGAUAAACAAAAGGUGGUAUAUCCAUUCUGUGAAAUAUUAUUUGGUAAUAAAAAGAAAUGAAGUACUGAUGCAUGCAUGGAUGAACCUUGAAAAUAUUUUGCUAAGAAGCCAGUCACAAAAGACCACAUAUUGUAUGUUUCCAUUUAUAUGAAAUAAAACAGACACAUCCAUGGACAGAAAGUAGGUUAGUAGUUGCCUAGGGCUGAGGAGUGAAUGGAUUGUGGGGAGGUGUUGAGAGGUGAAAGCUAAGGGUGUAGGGUUUCUUUUCGUGGUAAUGACAGUGUUCUAAAAUUGAUUGUGGCCAUGGAUGCACAACUCUGUGACUAUACCAAAAACUUAACUCUUACAAUUAUAAAUAAAUUGUAUGGUAUGGGAAUUAUAUUUCAAUGAAAUUGUUAUUAAAAACAACUCUUUGCCCAGCGGACACCCAAACCUUUCCCCAGCGGACACCCAAACCUUUCCCCAAGAUGGCUGUAAAUUAUCUUGGGGUGGGAAUGGGGAGGUCCUCCUUUGGUCCUAGCUCUUGAUCCAAUAAUUCUGACGUCAUCUACAACACGUUUACCUAGAAAUGAAACUCAGCUCUUUGCUGAAGUUCUAUCCUCCCAAACCACCCUUCUUUCCCUUCCUAGGAAGCAUUCAUGAUUUCACUGUAGAUGGGGCAGGG
rnacentral:lncRNA from 1 species